AUGACAUGUCUCAACACAACAAACAAGUCAAACUUCAUUUCACACACAUAUAACUUCUUUCAUUUUACCAUACUAGAAACCAUAAAAAAAAAAACAAUAUUCUUUGUGCUUUUAGACCACGUCAUUGGACUUAAAGUGAAACUUUCCUCAUUUUCUGACCUAACAGAUACUGGAAACAUUCAGAUCAUUUUACAGCGAAUCAAACAGGAGCUGGUCAAGUACGGUCUGCCAAACAGUGUUGAGCUGAAAUUAAGAAAGUUGCAAAGGACGAAGCCAUAAUAUCAGUCUCCUUCAGGAAAAUAAAUAAAACAGUCCUGUAUCUAAUUGAUCGUGUGAAGAAUCUAGUUUUUAAUUAAUGUGGUUUUUAUUUGAAGCUUUAAAAGUGACACAAAAACACCAUAAACUUGGUUACACCAUUGAUGUAGCUUACAGCUGUUGAGAUGAAUAACCUACUGACAUCCAUCUUAAUUUUCCUACGCUUAUUUGAGUUAAUUUAUGUGACAAUAUCCAUUCUAAAAAAAACAAGAAAAACAAAAUUUGGAUUAAAAUAUUAUAAUAAGUUAAUAGCUGAUGCCAUUACAAACCCUAUUUAAAUGAUCUGAUCACAAAUUAGACUGAUCUGGUCCUCAAGUUCCACUGACCCUUUACCGGGAGUUUGAUUGACAGGUGAUCUGACCAAUCAUAAUGCCAAAUCUAAAAGUUUGUCUGACAAACAAACCAGACCAGGAGAGUAGAUUAAUGUCGGUGGACUUUAACUUGAAAGAUGGUGUAUUGAUGUCUUUCCAUGGUUGAAACAAGAUACCUUUUGAUGUUCAUUCAGGUUUAUGUUGUGCUAUAAAGAGUAAGAGAUGUUCGGUUCUUGUGCAGCAUGAACUGAGGCGUUACAGCGAUCUGUCACGACACAUUUAAGAGCCACAAAACGGUAUUAAUUAUUUGAAUAAAUGUAAUCUUCAAAACAAACCUGCUCUGUCUUGUCUGUCGGCAUGUUGUCAGAGUCCUCUUUGCUCCGCAAUGUAUUUUCACUGCGUGAGGACAUGAUGUGUUGUGUAAGAAAGCCAUUGCUUGUCGGACAUGGCAACAUUAAUGAAUGGGGGUGGGUCUUUGCGAAGGAUCAAUUCACUGAUUCGAUUUGGUUGCAGUGAUAUGGUUCACAGCCUGCUGAAGGGCAAGACUAUGAGUGGAUAAUGGCUGCAAAUUCAGUCUGUUCCUUGAAACAUACCUGAAAACUCUAUUGAAAUAUAGUGCAUAAUUCAUAUAGAUGAUUUUUUAAACUUUUACAUUUCUUCUUUUGCAUUUUUAAAAGCCUAAAAAUCCUCCUCUUCUUCAUUUUUUAUUUUUAUUUAUUUAUUAUUUUUUUUGGAACACUAGUUUUAUUUCUUCUGCAUCUACUGUCAGGUUAAUGGCAUUUUAUGUUGACACCACUGAUCUAUAAUAUAGAACUGGAUUGCUCAUGACGUCACUUAAGUGAAGCCGCCGCGCCACCAUAUUGGUAAUCCCUAGUGUGCGUAAACGUUCUAUUGAAUUAAUAGGAAACUGUAUGAUUUUAAUGAGAAAUCAUCACCUAACAAGUCAGCGUUUAUAAAUCCGAAGUAUUUCUGUACAUUAUUACAAUGCAAACACCCUUGGCAUGUAACUUAAACGGUUAUUUUUUUAAAUGUCGGGAAUUUCCCCUACUUAUUAAAAACCUACGUUCAUUACAGUAGCGAACAUCAUAAACAUGAUAAACCUCAGACGGACACCUCAACAUAUAAAACAAACGACAAAGUGCUCAUUCUGAAAUCUGAAUUUAUUCAGAGAAAUAACUGACUAUAUACAGUACGGAUUUAAAGACAUAAAGCUUUAUUUCCAAGAUAGUAAGUUAAGCUUUUCAUUUCAUUAUAGAGCAACAUUAACAACAUAAUUGUAUUAUUCAUUGUAAUAUAUUCAAAUCAAUUUCUGAUACUAAUACGUUCAUGUUUAAUAAUUCCUGAAUAAUUAUGUUCAUAAAGAAAUAGGCUAUGUUUUGUGUUGGAUCGUUACCUGAGUCAUCAGUGCGCAGCAGACACACCCACAUAAACGGUUUAAAUAUAUCGCUUAUACUGCCCCAAAAGACCGUAAACACUGCAGAUAACAUCUGAAGUAAACAUUAAUUUACAUACACGUAACAUAAAAACUAGUCCCAUUUGACUGAUUUGCUUCUAAUCGGGUGAUUUCAGGACAGCAGUUUGCAUGUAACUCAAUGGUGCUCUCUGCUGGUAGGGAUUAGUAAAAUGGCGGAUCGAACACUUCCGGGGGCUUCACUGCCUGCUGACAGUUUAGAACGCGAUGAGCGAUCCAGUCAUAUAUAGAUCAGUGGUUCAUUUCAUUAUAGAGCAACAUUAACAACAUAAUUGUAUUAUUCAUUGUAAUAUAUUCAAAUCAAUUUCUGAUACUAAUACGUUCAUGUUUAAUAAUUCCUGAAUAAUUAUGUUCAUAAAGAAAUAGGCUAU
rnacentral:lncRNA from 1 species